UAACUGUCCCUUUACUCCCAGCCCCAGUGAAAAAGGGGAUAUUUGUGGAGGAAGACCAGGGACUGAGAGGCCUGGCUGAUGGAGAAGAGGAAACGGGGGGAGGGUGUGCGUGCUGAGCAGAGGUGCAGAGUGCUCCCUAAAGUUCUUUUUAUCAGAAUGUGAUCCCCCAAGGGCUCACUGCGGGUGAGAAGAGGCUGGGGCAAGACAAGGUAUGGAGGUGGGAAAAACCCACCCUGAGUCGGUGACAUCCUCCCCCUCAGAACCCUUCCCCCAACCCGCAGCUGCAGGGAGGAAAAAGGAAGGAGAAAGAGGCCCUCCCCCCAUGCUAGCAGCUCGUAGUGUACGGUUAGUGGUGUGUGGAGGGGUGAUAGGCCUAUGGGUCUGAUGAGAGCUCUGCCCAACAGUGUCACCCAGCCUGCCCAGAAAAAGUGCCCACUGACACAGAAGAACACAUUUGUCACCUGAGAAACGUGUCGGGGGGAGAGGCAGACAUCCACAUGGGUGUGAGUGUGCAAGCAUGCACCCGCAUCCCCAGGUGUCUGCAGUCUGUUGGGGCAUCUGUGAGAAGCGAGCAUCUCUGCCCAAGCCUGCCUGGAGGGUUAAGCAUGGAGGAUUCUGGGGCCUGAAGGGUGCCUGUGAUGGCUGUGGUUUUUUUCCAUGACGGGAAAUGACAGGUCAUUUUCAUAAGUCUUAAAAGGUCAUGGGGACAGAGUCCAUAAGUAUAUCCUCUUGAAGGCUCACUCUUUUCUAGGGUGUCCCUGCAGCUGUUAACCGUCCCUGCUUGAUUAAAGUUUCCAACACCCCAGCCCCCUCUCCCAGACAGUGAGAGUGGUGUGUGCUGGUGACUCCCUGGGGGCCUCAGGGGCCUGUGAGAGUGAGUGGGAGUGCAUAGAGCAGCUGGUGGCAGGAGUGAGGGGGCGUGGUCAGGGUACUGGUACCUGUGAUGCACAGGGCAUGGGGUGUAGGGACAGCGUGUGUGUAAAUCAAUUGCAGGAACACUUGCAGGAAUUCUGUAAACUGGAGAUAAUGUCCCAGUUUUCAGAACCCAUGUGCAACAGGGCCUGGAUGCCAGGUAAAAUGCCAAAAACAAUCUUCAAAUGAGUAUGUGCUCAAAAAAGGAAUCAAUGGGCAUGCUGCCUAACUCGACCCUUGGGGAGGCUUUAGGAGGGAGGGUGCCCAAAUGGGACUGGAUGAGCUAAACUGCACGCCCACAAUGCCUUGGAUGUCUUAGGCCAGCCGGUCUGUGUUUCUGUCCUCUUUAGCUCUUUUGGUGAUGGACACACAUCUCCUUAUGACACUCUGCAUUCCCUCAGUCCUAGACCAUCGUGUGGCCUUCUUUUGUGAAGAAGAUAUGAGAGCAGAGUACGUCUCCUUCCCCAUGUGUGCCACAUGGGGUCUUUGCGAUAUUGACAUGUACAUUUCCUUUGGAGGCUGGACAUCAGAAAGGACAGCUGUUACUCUGAGCUGCACCUCACCUACCCAAAUGUCAGGAAUGCCUGGGGGCUUCUCAGAGCUGAGGGGCCAGUGCUGUACAUUUCAGCUUUUCCAGGAUCAUAAUUUCAUCUGAGAUCCUAGAGAACAAACACCAAAGCCCAUUUCUUGCCCUCUCCUGACCCCUCCAUGCUUAUUUCAGGGAGUGGUUCUACAGUAAACAAGAGGAGGGAGCCCAGCUAUGAGGGCCUCGGGAAAGAAUGUGCUGUAUGGAAAGGGGCUUAUCUAAGGACUUCCCUGGUAGUCCAGUGGCUAAGACUCCACACUCCUGAUGCAGGAGACCCAGGUUCGAUCCCUGCUCACAGAACUAGAUACUUCAUGCUGCAACUGAUAUACCUGGUGCAGUGAAGUAAAUUUUUUUUUUUUUUUUUUUAAAAAGGGGCUCAUCUGUAUAAACUUUCGUGAAGUCCAGCCAACAUCAGGAAGUCAAGGAAGUCUCCUGAGACUCUGAAAGUCAGGAAUUUCAGUGGGAGAACAUGGAGAUGAGCACUCAGGUAGCAGUGGGAGCAGAAGCGAAAGGAUGCAGAGAGAGAGUCCAUGUGGUGCCCGGAGCCUCCCAUGCUUAGCAGUUGUGCCUGGCUCCGACCCUCUCACACACUUGGGGCAGGGGGAUUAUCCCGGCAGAAUUUUAUUUUGAAAAUUCGAAGCCUAGAGGAAACUUGGAAGAAUAAUACAAUGAAUACUUAUACGUCCUUCAUCUAGUGUGCCAGUCAAGACUCAAACUGUUCUCACCACAUAAAAGAAAUGACAAUUAUGUGACGUGAUAGAGGUGUUAGCUAACCAUGGUGGCAAGCAUAAUGCAGCAUAUAAAUGUAUCACGUCAACACACUGUACACCUUACACUUACACAAUGUUAUUAUAUCUCAAUAAAAAAUGGCGCAGAGAA